rfam:Branchiostoma floridae genomic scaffold BRAFLscaffold_174, whole genome shotgun sequence.
CCCCCGGCCCUUUUCAGGGCCACCCCAAAUCUUCCCUAAAGAACUGU